rnacentral:tRNA from 1 species
CGGUGAUGAGCUAGUUGGUUAAGCUUAUGAUGAUGUACACAUCAUGUAAAACGGGUACUCCUGUUGUCAUCAGUUCGAAUCUGGUAUUAUCGU